AGCCUUAGUAGCGGCGAGUGAGCGGCAAAAGCUCAAUUUGAAUCUGGCGCCUUCGGUGUCCUGAGUUGUAAUUUGAAGAUUGUAACCUUGGGGUUGGCUCUUGUCUAUGUUUCUUGGAACAGGACGUCACAGAGGGUGAGAAUCCCGUGCGAUGAGAUGCCCAAUUCUAUGUAAGGUGCUUUCGAAGAGUCGAGUUGUUUGGGAAUGCAGCUCUAAGUGGGUGGUAAAUUCCAUCUAAAGCUAAAUAUUGGCGAGAGACCGAUAGCGAACAAGUACAGUGAUGGAAAGAUGAAAAGAACUUUGAAAAGAGAGUGAAAAAGUACGUGAAAUUGUUGAAAGGGAAGGGUUUGAGAUCAGACUCGAUA
rnacentral:rRNA from 1 species